ACGGGUGAGUAACACGUGGACAAUCUGCCCCCCGGCCCGGGAUAGCCCAGGGAAGCCUGGAUUAAUACCGGAUGAGACGGGACCCGCGAAGGCGGGACCCGGGAAAGGCGCUGCGGCGCCGCCGGGGGGAUGAGUCUGCGUCCCAUUAGCUAGACGGCGGGGUAACGGCCCACCGUGGCGACGAUGGGUAGCCGGCCUGAGAGGGUGGACGGCCACAUUGGAACUGAGACACGGUCCAGACUCCUACGGGAGGCAGCAGCUAAGAAUCUUCCGCAAUGGGCGAAAGCCUGACGGAGCGAACCGCCGCGUGAACGAAGAAGGCCGUGAGGUUGUAAAGUUCUUUUCGGGAGGGGGAACAACCGUGGCAGGGAAUGGCCGCGGGAUGACGUGAAUCCCGGAAUAAGCCCCGGCUAACUACGUGCCAGCCGCUGC
rnacentral:rRNA from 1 species